AUUUCCCUCUUUCUUCAGGCCUAACACAUGCAAGUCGAGCGGAUGAAGGGAGCUUGCUCCUGGAUUCAGCGGCGGACGGGUGAGUAAUGCCUAGGAAUCUGCCUGGUAGUGGGGGAUAACGUCCGGAAACGGGCGCUAAUACCGCAUACGUCCUGAGGGAGAAAGUGGGGGAUCUUCGGACCUCACGCUAUCAGAUGAGCCUAGGUCGGAUUAGCUAGUUGGUGGGGUAAAGGCCUACCAAGGCGACGAUCCGUAACUGGUCUGAGAGGAUGAUCAGUCACACUGGAACUGAGACACGGUCCAGACUCCUACGGGAGGCAGCAGUGGGGAAUAUUGGACAAUGGGCGAAAGCCUGAUCCAGCCAUGCCGCGUGUGUGAAGAAGGUCUUCGGAUUGUAAAGCACUUUAAGUUGGGAGGAAGGGCAGUAAGUUAAUACCUUGCUGUUUUGACGUUACCAACAGAAUAAGCACCGGCUAACUUCGUG
rnacentral:rRNA from 1 species